rnacentral:rRNA from 1 species
UACGUAGGGUGCAAGCGUUAAUCGGAAUUACUGGGCGUAAAGUGUGCGCAGGCGGCGUCGCAAGUCGAGUGUGAAAGCCCCGGGCUUAACUUGGGAAUUGCGCUCGAAACUACGGUGCUGGAGUGUGGCAGAGGAAGGUGGAAUUCCACGUGUAGCGGUGAAAUGCGUAGAGAUGUGGAGGAACACCGAUGGCGAAGGCAGCCUUCUGGGCCAACACUGACGCUCAUGCACGAAAGCGUGGGGAGCAAACAGG